rnacentral:lncRNA from 1 species
GUGAGGCGUAUCUAACUUACAUUAGUGUUUCAGAUUCUGGGGUUUCUUCUGUUAAAAUAUCAGAAUGGUUAAAGAUUUUCUGGAUGUCUUUUGAUGAGCUACCUGGGUUACCUCCAAACCGUGAAGUUGAGUUUGAGAUUGAGCUCUUGCUUGGUAUAGCUUCGGUGUCCAUCACCCCUUAUAGAAUGGCACUAAAAGAUCUUGUGGAGCUUAUAGCUCAAAUUCAAGAGUUAUUUGAUUGAGGGUUCAUCCGCCCUAGUGUGUCUCUAUG